rnacentral:rRNA from 1 species
GUAGCUUGCUAUAGUAUGACUUAGUGGCAGACGGGUGAGUAAUGUAUAGGAAUCUACCUAGUAGUACGGAAUAAUUGUUGAAAACGGCAACUAAUACCGUAUACGCCUACGGGGAAAAUUUAUUGCUAUUAGAUGAGCCUAUAUUAGAUUAGCUAGUUGGUGGAGUAAUAGCCUACCAAGGCAAUGAUCUAUAGCUGAUCUGAGAGGAUGAUCAGCCACACUGGAACUGAGAUACGGUCCAG